CCUACGGGAGGCAGCAGUGAGGAAUAUUGGUCAAUGGGCGUAAGCCUGAUCCAGCCAAGUCGCGUGAGGGAUGAAGGUUCUAUGGAUCGUAAACCUCUUUUAUAAGGGAAUAAAGUGCGGGACGUGUCCCGUUUUGUAUGUACCUUAUGAAUAAGGAUCGGCUAACUCCGUGCCAGCAGCCGCGGUAAUACGGAGGAUCCGAGCGUUAUCCGGAUUUAUUGGGUUUAAAGGGUGCGGAGGCGGUCUUUUAAGUUAGCGGUGAAAGUCUGUGGGUCAACCAUGGAAUUGCGGUUGAAACUGGGAGGCUUGAGUUGGUGUGAGGCAGGUGGAAUGCGUGGUGUAGCGGUGAAAUGCGUAGAUAUCGCGCAGAACCCCGAUUGCGAAGGCAGCCUGCCGGGCCAUGACUGACGCUGAGGCACGAAAGCGUGGGGAUCGAACAGGAUUAGAUACCCGAGUAGUC
rnacentral:rRNA from 1 species